UGCAUGUUCAUGAUCACAGUAAUGUAGGCGCAGGAACAACACUCACAGUGACUGUCUCCUCGUCUCACUGCGUGUGUUGUUCCUGCGCCUACAUUACUGUGAUCAUGAGCUGCA
rnacentral:pre_miRNA from 1 species